AACCCAGUGCAAUUCGUUGCACUAUCGUUAACUGAAUACAUAGGUUAACGAGGCGAACCGGGGGAACUGAAACAUCUAAGUACCCCGAGGAAAAGAAAUCAACCGAGAUUCCCCCAGUAGCGGCGAGCGAACGGGGAGCAGCCCAGAGUCUGAAUCAGCUUGUGUGUUAGUGGAACGGUCUGGAAAGUCCGACGGUACAGGGUGAUAGUCCCGUACACCAAAAUGCACAGGUUGUGAACUCGAAGAGUAGGGCGGGACACGUGGUAUCCUGUCUGAAUAUGGGGGGACCAUCCUCCAAGGCUAAAUACUCCUGACUGACCGAUAGUGAACCAGUACCGUGAGGGAAAGGCGAAAAGAACCCCGGCGAGGGGAGUGAAAAAGAACCUGAAACCGUGUACGUACAAGCAGUGGGAGCACCUUCGGGUGUGACUGCGUACCUUUUGUAUAAUGGGUCAGCGACUUAUAUUCUGUAGCAAGGUUAACCGUAUAGGGGAGCCGCAGGGAAACCGAGUCUUAACUGGGCGUUAAGUUGCAGGGUAUAGACCCGAAACCCGGUGAUCUAGCCAUGGGCAGGUUGAAGGUUGGGUAACACUAACUGGAGGACCGAACCGACUAAUGUUGAAAAAUUAGCGGAUGACUUGUGGCUGGGGGUGAAAGGCCAAUCAAACCGGGAGAUAGCUGGUUCUCCCCGAAAGCUAUUUAGGUAGCGCCUCGUGAAUUCAUCUUCGGGGGUAGAGCACUGUUUCGGCUAGGGGGUCAUCCCGACUUACCAACCCGAUGCAAACUACGAAUACCGAAGAAUGUUAUCACGGGAGACACACGGCGGGUGCUAACGUCCGUCGUGAAGAGGGAAACAACCCAGACCGCCAGCUAAGGUCCCAAAGUCAUGGUUAAGUGGGAAACGAUGUGGGAAGGCACAGACAGCCAGGAUGUUGGCUUAGAAGCAGCCAUCAUUUAAAGAAAGCGUAAUAGCUCACUGGUCGAGUCGGCCUGCGCGGAAGAUGUAACGGGGCUAAACCAUGCACCGAAGCUGCGGCAGCGACACUAUGUGUUGUUGGGUAGGGGAGCGUUCUGUAAGCCUGCGAAGGUGACCUGUGAGGGUUGCUGGAGGUAUCAGAAGUGCGAAUGCUGACAUAAGUAACGAUAAAGCGGGUGAAAAGCCCGCUCGCCGGAAGACCAAGGGUUCCUGUCCAACGUUAAUCGGGGCAGGGUGAGUCGACCCCUAAGGCGAGGCCGAAAGGCGUAGUCGAUGGGAAACAGGUUAAUAUUCCUGUACUUGGUGUUACUGCGAAGGGGGGACGGAGAAGGCUAUGUUAGCCGGGCGACGGUUGUCCCGGUUUAAGCAUGUAGGCUGAUUGUCCAGGCAAAUCCGGAUAAUCAAGGCUGAGGUGUGAUGACGAGGCACUACGGUGCUGAAGUAACAAAUGCCCUGCUUCCAGGAAAAGCCUCUAAGCAUCAGGUAACAUCAAAUCGUACCCCAAACCGACACAGGUGGUCAGGUAGAGAAUACCAAGGCGCUUGAGAGAACUCGGGUGAAGGAACUAGGCAAAAUGGUGCCGUAACUUCGGGAGAAGGCACGCUGGUGUGUAGGUGAAGUCCCUGCGGAUGGAGCUGAGACCAGUCGAAGAUACCAGCUGGCUGCAACUGUUUAUUAAAAACACAGCACUGUGCAAACACGAAAGUGGACGUAUACGGUGUGACGCCUGCCCGGUGCCGGAAGGUUAAUUGAUGGGGUUAUCCGUAAGGAGAAGCUCUUGAUCGAAGCCCCGGUAAACGGCGGCCGUAACUAUAACGGUCCUAAGGUAGCGAAAUUCCUUGUCGGGUAAGUUCCGACCUGCACGAAUGGCGUAAUGAUGGCCAGGCUGUCUCCACCCGAGACUCAGUGAAAUUGAACUCGCUGUGAAGAUGCAGUGUACCCGCGGCAAGACGGAAAGACCCCGUGAACCUUUACUAUAGCUUGACACUGAACAUUGAGCCUUGAUGUGUAGGAUAGGUGGGAGGCUUUGAAGCGUGGACGCCAGUCUGCGUGGAGCCAACCUUGAAAUACCACCCUUUAAUGUUUGAUGUUCUAACGUUGGCCCCUGACCGGGGUUGCGGACAGUGUCUGGUGGGUAGUUUGACUGGGGCGGUCUCCUCCCAAAGCGUAACGGAGGAGCACGAAGGUUAGCUAAUCCUGGUCGGACAUCAGGAGGUUAGUGCAAUGGCAUAAGCUAGCUUGACUGCGAGCGUGACGGCGCGAGCAGGUGCGAAAGCAGGUCAUAGUGAUCCGGUGGUUCUGAAUGGAAGGGCCAUCGCUCAACGGAUAAAAGGUACUCCGGGGAUAACAGGCUGAUACCGCCCAAGAGUUCAUAUCGACGGCGGUGUUUGGCACCUCGAUGUCGGCUCAUCACAUCCUGGGGCUGAAGUAGGUCCCAAGGGUAUGGCUGUUCGCCAUUUAAAGUGGUACGCGAGCUGGGUUUAGAACGUCGUGAGACAGUUCGGUCCCUAUCUGCCGUGGGCGCUGGAGAAUUGAGGGGGGCUGCUCCUAGUACGAGAGGACCGGAGUGGACGCAUCACUGGUGUUCGGGUUGUCAUGCCAAUGGCACUGCCCGGUAGCUAAAUGCGGAAGAGAUAAGUGCUGAAAGCAUCUAAGCACGAAACUUGCCCCGAGAUGAGUUCUCCCUGAGACUU
rnacentral:rRNA from 1 species